GUGACCGGUUCCGGGGCCCGGACAGGGAAAAUAGGAGAUGAGCCUGGCGCGUCGCGUAUCACUAGAAAAACUUCAUAUAUUGAAACCUAAUCCCCGGUGUGAUGGUGUUUGGAGGUGAGACCUCUGGGAAGUGCUUAGAUCGUGAGAAGGGAGCCCUCGUGAAUGGGUUCAGUACCCUUGAAAAGGAGCUGAGAGAAGACAGCUGUCUAUGAACCAAGAAGUGGACUUUCACAGGCAUCAAACCUGCUUAUAACUUGGUUUUGGACUUCCAGCCUCCAGAACUGUGGGCUAUGGUGAAUUCAUCCUUCUCCUGGACCAGCUUCUCAGGUACAAAUGUCCCGAGCAGGAGCAAGCUUGGCAAAUUGGAGAGCAGCAAGGAGGCCAGAUGAGCGGGAGGAAGAUGGCAGGAGGCGAGCUUGGACAGACAGCAAGCAUCAGAUGGUUGGGGCCCCAUCAGGUGGGGCUAGAGGAGGAGUUGUAUCAUCUGACGUUCCCACGAGAAAUGUAGGCGUUCCGUUUGCUCUGAAUCUUUACCAUCACUUGGUGUGGUCAGAACGUUCUCCGUUAUUCCAGAGAAAAGAAGGAGCCAUUAGACACCUUCCCAGAUGCCAGACGGAGGGACUGAGGAAGGAAUUACUUGGGAAGAUGAGAGCUGCCCAAAAAAGCUCCCAGGCACUUUGGGAGAAGAGAACUGCCACCAGAGUGUCUGAUGCCCUGUGUAGACUGUGGAUGAGAGCUCACGUGGCCAAAGAACAAACUCACUUCACGACAGCAGGACUGCUUCAGGACUCAAACGUGUCACCAGAAAAAGAGAGCAAGCAAGAGAGCACAAGCAGGGGGAGUGGCAGAGGGAGAAGCAGACUCCCCGC